UUUUUGUGAAUUACUUAUUAAUCUCUUAAAUACAAAGAACAAUAUGAUUAUCGUAUUCUGAUUAUUGUAAACAAAGGAUCGACGAUAAUAUAUCAACUUUUAAAUCAAUGUAUUUUAGAACGUGUUUUUUAGAAAUAGUUGCAUUGAAUGAGGGAAACAGAGAAAUAGAGGAGGAGAGAAUGUGCGAGAAUGCAAGGAUAAAUGAUUGCGAAGAAUGCGUGCACUAGUCAGUUGAGAAAGAGUUGGAAAUGAGAGUAAAGUUAAAAGAGAGAGAAAGAAAGUUUGCAGAGAAUUAUUUCAAUGAAGAGGAAUUCUUUUCAUUAUCUAAUCUGAUCAUCGAUUAUCUUCUACGAAAUCAUAUUUCUCUUUAUAUUUAUGAAAAAGAGGGAUGUAAUCUGAGUGAACACGUAAGGUAGGGUGACUCAGGCUUUCAGGUUAUAGUUGACCUGGCUACGAUGCUUGUAAAUGAAGUUAAGUUAUGGAAAAUCGGAAAAG